ACGUUAGGGGAGCGGCCGAUGUCCGAUUAGCUAGUUGGUGGGGUAAUGGCUUACCAAGGCGACGAUCGGUAGCUGGUCUGAGAGGAUGAUCAGCCACACUGGGACUGAGACACGGCCCAG
rnacentral:rRNA from 1 species